rnacentral:rRNA from 1 species
GAUGAACGCUGGCGGCGUGCCUAAUACAUGCAAGUCGAGCGAACAGACGAGGAGCUUGCUCCUUUGACGUUAGCGGCGGACGGGUGAGUAACACGUAGGUAACCUACCUAUAAGACUGGGAUAACUUCGGGAAACCGGAGCUAAUACCGGAUAAUAUUUCGAACCGCAUGGUUCGAUAGUGAAAGAUGGCUUUGCUAUCACUUAUAGAUGGACCUGCGCCGUAUUAGCUAGUUGGUAAGGUAACGGCUUACCAAGGCAACGAUACGUAGCCGACCUGAGAGGGUGAUCGGCCACACUGGAACUGAGACACGGUCCAGACUCCUACGGGAGGCAGCAGUAGGGAAUCUUCCGCAAUGGGCGAAAGCCUGACGGAGCAACGCCGCGUGAGUGAUGAAGGGCUUCGGAUCGUAAAACUCUGUUAUUAGGGAAGAACAAACGUGUAAGUAACUGUGCACGUCUCGACGGUACCUAAUCAGAAAGCCACGGCUAACUACGUGC